rnacentral:rRNA from 1 species
GAUGAACGCUGGCGGCGUGCCUAAUACAUGCAAGUCGAGCGAACGGACGAGAAGCUUGCUUCUCUGAUGUUAGCGGCGGACGGGUGAGUAACACGUGGAUAACCUACCUAUAAGACUGGGAUAACUUCGGGAAACCGGAGCUAAUACCGGAUAAUAUUUUGAACCGCAUGGUUCAAAAGUGAAAGACGGUCUUGCUGUCACUUAUAGAUGGAUCCGCGCUGCAUUAGCUAGUUGGUAAGGUAACGGCUUACCAAGGCAACGAUGCAUAGCCGACCUGAGAGGGUGAUCGGCCACACUGGAACUGAGACACGGUCCAGACUCCUACGGGAGGCAGCAGUAGGGAAUCUUCCGCAAUGGGCGAAAGCCUGACGGAGCAACGCCGCGUGAGUGAUGAAGGUCUUCGGAUCGUAAAACUCUGUUAUUAGGGAAGAACAUAUGGUAAGUAACUGUGCACAUCUGGACGGUACCUAAUCAGAAAGCCACGGCUAACUACGU